rnacentral:tRNA from 1 species
GGUGGCUCAGUGGUAGAGUGCUUGCAUUGCAUGCAUGAGGGCCUGGGUUUGAAUCCUCAGCACCA